rnacentral:rRNA from 1 species
UAAGGAAUAUUGGACAAUGGAGGCAACUCUGAUCCAGCCAUGCCGCGUGAAGGAAUAAGGCCCUAUGGGUUGUAAACUUCUUUUAGACGGGACAAAACCCCUUUACGUGUAAAGGGUUGAUGGUACUGUCAGAAUAAGCAUCGGCUAACUUCGUGCCAGCAGCCGCGGUAAUACGAAGGAUGCAAGCGUUAUCCGGAAUUAUUGGGUUUAAAGGGUGCGUAGGCGGACUAAUAAGUCAGUGGUGAAAGCCUGCAGCUUAACUGCAGAAUUGCCAGUGCUACUGUUAGUCUCGAGUACAGUGGAGGUAGGCGGAAUGUGUCAUGUAGCUGUGAAAUGCUUAGAUAUGAGACAGAACACCGAUUUCGAAGGCAGCGUGCUAAGCUGUAACUGACGCUGAGGCACGAAAGCGUGGGGAGCA